UACGAAGGGGGCUAGCGUUGUUCGGAGUUACUGGGCGUAAAGCGCACGCAGGCGGUCUGCUAAGUUUGGAGUGACAGUUGGUGGCUUAACUGCCAAAGUGCUUCGAAAACUGACAGACUUGAGGGCUUCAGAGGGACACGGAAUUCCGGGUGGAGUGGUGAAAUGCGUAGAGAUCCGGAGGAACACCAAAGGCGAAGGCAGUGUCCUGGAGGGUGACUGACGCUGAGGCGCGAAAGCUAGGGGAGCGAACAGG
rnacentral:rRNA from 1 species